UGGCUCUGUUGGUAGAGCAUGGUGUGUGCAACGCCAGGGUUGUGGGUUCGAUUCCCAC
rnacentral:tRNA from 1 species